rnacentral:rRNA from 1 species
UACGUAGGGUGCAAGCGUUAAUCGGAAUUACUGGGCGUAAAGCGUGCGCAGGCGGUUGUGCAAGACAGAUGUGAAAUCCCCGGGCUCAACCUGGGAAUUGCAUUUUGUGACUGCACGGCUAGAGUGUGUCAGAGGGGGGUAGAAUUCCACGUGUAGCAGUGAAAUGCGUAGAGAUGUGGAGGAAUACCGAUGGCGAAGGCAGCCCCCUGGGAUAACACUGACGCUCAUGCACGAAAGCGUGGGGAGCAAACAGG